CAGCAGUGGGGAAUAUUGCACAAUGGGCGCAAGCCUGAUGCAGCCAUGCCGCGUGUAUGAAGAAGGCCUUCGGGUUGUAAAGUACUUUCAGCAGUGAGGAAGGUGGGUAUGUUAAUAGCAUAUUCAUUUGACGUUAGCUGCAGAAGAAGCACCGGCUAACUCCGUGCCAGCAGCCGCGGUAAUACGGAGGGUGCGAGCGUUAAUCGGAAUUACUGGGCGUAAAGCGCAUGCAGGUGGUUUGUUAAGUCAGAUGUGAAAGCCCGGGGCUCAACCUCGGAAUUGCAUUUGAAACUGGCAAACUAGAGUACUGUAGAGGGGGUAGAAUUUCAGGUGUAGCGGUGAAAUGCGUAGAGAUCUGAAGGAAUACCGGUGGCGAAGGCGGCCCCCUGGACAGAUACUGACACUCAGAUGCCGAAAGCGUGGGGAGCAAACAGGAUUAGAUACCCUGGUAG
rnacentral:rRNA from 1 species